GCUCACGUGGCGGAAUUGGUAGACGCGCUAGAUUCAGGUUCUAGUGGGGGCGACCCCGUGGAUGUUCGAGUCAUCUCGUGAGCA
rnacentral:tRNA from 1 species